GAGGGAGUAUGAAAUAAGAUAAAACAACUGGUGUUCAAAGAAAGGGCAUAAAGAAGAAGAAAGGGAGAUCUAUUUGAUCUGUGGAUCUUUGAUUGUGAAGAGUAAUGGCGAAGGUGGAGUUAAACGGAGACGAUUCAAAGCAGACAAAGAAGGUGGUGAAUAGAAAUCACGGAUCCACCAAAUUCUUUGUCUUUAUAGAUUAUCUUUUCCUCUUCGUAUUCUUCUGUUUCCUAUGCUACAUUCUAUUCAAAAUAGCGGGACUUUGAUCUAUUCAGGUUAACUAUAAGCUAUAUCCAGAUCAAGAGAGUCCAAGCUCUUGCGACACAACUGCUGGUUUUAUUCCAGUUUAGAGAUUGUUUUCUUCUUAGACUGAGAUAUCUAGAGGGAAUGAAGUCUUCACAGUACUCGCGAUAUAUGUCAAAAUUCUUCUGUGCCACAUGACUUACCUAUUUAAUGUACUUGAUAUAUAUAACAUUUAGUUCUUUUAAUCACACAAUUUAUAUGUCGAUACAACACUUAAGUUCUGAUGCUCAAUUGACAAUUAUUACUAUCUGAAAUCAUCUUCAUUCUUUUCAA